CGAGCGAUGAGGUUCCCUUCGGGGAGUACAUCAGCGGCAGACGGGUGAGUAACACGUAGGUAACCUGCCCUCAAGACGGGGAUAACGCCUGGAAACGGGCGCUAAUACCGGAUGACCUUAGUUGGGGAAGAUCCGAUUAAGGAAAGGCUAUGGCGCUUGAGGAGGGGCCUGCGGCCCAUCAGUUAGUUGGUAGGGUAACGGCCUACCAAGGCGAAGACGGGUAGGGGGUGUGAGAGCACGGCCCCCCACACUGGGACUGAGACACGGCCCAGACUCCUACGGGAGGCAGCAGCGGGGAAUAUUGCGCAAUGGACGGAAGUCAGACGCAGCGACGCCGCGUGGGUGAAGAAGGCCUUCGGGUUGUAAAGCCCUUUUCUGAGGGAAGAGAAAGGACGGUACCUUAGGAAUAAGCGUCGGCUAACUACGUGCCAGCAGCCGCGGUAAGACGUAGGACGCGAGCGUUAUCCGGAUUUACUGGGCGUAAAGCGUGUGUAGGCGGCGUGACAAGUUGGGCGUGAAAGCCCCGUGCUCAACGCGGGGAGGCCGCACAAUACUGUCAGGCUAGAGGGCACCAGAGGGGUGUGGAAUUCCCGGAGUAGCGGUAAAAUGCGCAGAUAUCGGGAGGAACACCGGUGGCGAAAGCGGCACCCUGGGGUGCGCCUGACGCUGAGAGACGACAGCUAGGGGAGCGAACAGGAUUAGAGACCCUGGUAGUCC
rnacentral:rRNA from 1 species